rnacentral:rRNA from 1 species
GACGAACGCUGGCGGCGUGCUUAACACAUGCAAGUCGAACGGAAAGGCCCUGCUUUUGUGGGGUGCUCGAGUGGCGAACGGGUGAGUAACACGUGAGUAACCUGCCCUUGACUUUGGGAUAACUUCAGGAAACUGGGGCUAAUCCCGGAUAGGAGCUCCUGCUGCAUGGUGGGGGUUGGAAAGUUUCGGCGGUUGGGGAUGGACUCGCGGCUUAUCAGCGUGUUGGUGGGGUAGUGGCGUACCAAGGCUUUGACGGGUGGCCGGCCUGAGAGGGUGACCGGCACCAUUGGGACUGAGAUACGGCCCAGACGCCUACGGGAGGCAGCAGUGGGGAAUAUUGCACAAUGGGCGGAAGCCUGAUGCAGCAACGCCGCGUGCGGGAUGACGGCCUUCGGGUUGUAAACCGCUUUCGCCUGUGACGAAGCUUGAGUGACGGUAAUGGGUAAAGAAGCACCGGCUAACUACGUG